CCUACGGGUAGCAGCAGUGGGGAAUAUUGCACAAUGGGGGAAACCCUGAUGCAGCGACGCCGCGUGAGUGAAGAAGUAAUUCGUUAUGUAAAGCUCUAUCAGCAGGGAAGAAAGUGACGGUACCUGAGUAAUACGCCCCGGCUAACUCCGUGCCAGCAGCCGCGGUAAUACGUAGGGGGCAAGCGUUAGCCGGAUUUACUGGGUGUAAAGGGAGCGGAGACGGCAGGGCAAGUCUGGAGGGAAAGGCGGGGGCUCAUCCCCCGGACUGCGCUGGAAACUGUCCGGCUGGAGUGUAGAAGAGGUAAGUGGAAUUCCUAUUGUAGCGGUGAAAUGCGUAGAUAUUAGGAGGACAACCGGUGGCGAAGGCGGCUUACUGGACUGUAACUGACGUUGAGGCUCGAAAGCGUGGGGAGCAAACAGGAUUAGAUACCCUUGUAGUC
rnacentral:rRNA from 1 species